rnacentral:rRNA from 1 species
UACCAGCACCCCGAGUGGUCGGGACGUUUAUUGGGCCUAAAGCAUCCGUAGCCGGUUCUACAAGUCUUCCGUUAAAUCCACCUGCUCAACAGAUGGGCUGCGGAAGAUACUAUGGAGCUAGGAGGCGGGAGAGGCAAGCGGUACUCGAUGGGUAGGGGUAAAAUCCGUUGAUCCAUUGAAGACCACCAGUGGCGAAGGCGGCUUGCCAGAACGCGCUCGACGGUGAGGGAUGAAAGCUGGGGGGAGCAAACGGG